rnacentral:rRNA from 1 species
GUGACUUUUAAUGUUUAACGGCCGCGGUAUUUUGACCGUGCAAAGGUAGCGCAAUCACUUGUCUUUUAAAUGGAGACCUGUAUGAAUGGCAUCACUAGGGCUUAACUGUCUCCUUUCUCAGGCCAGUGAAAUUGAUCUCCCCGUGCAGAAGCGGGGAUGAAAACAUAAGACGAGAAGACCCUAUGGAGCUUUAGACACCAAGGCAGCUCACGUCAAGAGCCUUAAGACAAAAGAUUGAACUACAUGAGUCACUGUCCCAAUGUCUUCGGUUGGGGCGACCCUGGGGAGAUAAAGAACCCCCAUGAGGACUGGAGAAUAUUCUCCAAAACUGAGAGCUUCCGCUCUAAGAAGCAGACACUUCUGACCAUCAAGAUCCGGCAACGCCGAUCAACGGACCGAGUUACCCUAGGGAUAACAGCGCAAUCCCCUUCUAGAGCCCCUAUCGACAAGAGGGUUUACGACCUCCAUGUUGGAUCAGGACAUCCUAAUGGUGCAGCCGCUA